GACGAACGCUGGCGGCGUGCCUAAUAAAUGCAAGUAGACCGCAGUUGCGAACGGGUGAGUAACGCGUAGGUAACUGCCUGGUAGCGGGGGGUAACUAUUGGAAACGAUAGCUAAUACCGCAUACUACCAGAUGGACCUGCGUUGUAUUAGCUAGUUGGUGGGGUAACGGCUCACCAAGGCAACGAUAAAUAGCAGACCUGAGAGGGUGAUCGGCCACACUGGGACUGAGACACGGCCCAGACUCCUACGGGAGGCAGCAGUAGGGAAUCUUCGGCAAUGGGCGAAAGCCUGACGAGGCAAGGCCGGUGAGUGAAGAAGGUUUUCCGAUUGGAAAGCUUCUUUGUUUAGGGAGCGGUACCUAACCAGAAAGGGACGGCUAACUACGUGCCAGCAGCCGCGGUAAUAC
rnacentral:rRNA from 1 species